rfam:Populus trichocarpa scaffold_13_contig_181, whole genome shotgun sequence.
UCUAGAACUCGAGAUAUGGGCUGAACACUGAACAAUAUCUGGGUUGCAGGACAGAUUCCAACUUCUCCAUUAUUGCUAAGAUUUAGACUUCCAAAUAGCAGAAUUGAGUAUUGGACUCCUGAUUGUGCAUCAAAAGUAUCAUUAAGUCUCUUAUUUUACAUAUGUAUU